AGGACGAACGCUGGCGGCGUGCUUAACACAUGCAAGUCGAGCGGUAAGGCCCUUUCGGGGGUACGACGAGCGGCGAACGGGUGAGUAACACGUGGGUGACCUGCCUUUAGCUCUGGGAUAAGCCUGGGAAACGUGGGUCUAAUACCGGAUAUGACCCUAUGGCGCAUGUUGUGGGGUGGAAAGCCUUGUGCGGCUAGGGA
rnacentral:rRNA from 1 species